rnacentral:rRNA from 1 species
UGACCGUGCAAAGGUAGCGUAAUCACCUGUCUUUUAAAUAAAGACCUGUAUGAAUGGCAAGACGAGGGUUUUACUGUCUCCUCCCCCCAGUCAAUGAAAUUGAUCUACCCGUGCAGAAGCGGGUAUAAAAACAUAAGACGAGAAGACCCUAUGGAGCUUUAGGCAUAUAUCAAAUAUGUAAAAAACCAAAUUUUUCCAAAUAGGCCUAAAAAAUGAGAAAAACAAGUAUUAAUGAUUAAGUGCCUUCGGUUGGGGCGACCACGGGGAAAAAUAAAACCCCCACAUGGAAUGGGAAAAAUAACCCUAAGCCAAGAAAAACACUUCUAAGCAACAAAAUUUUUGACCAAUAAACGACCCAGGGACACCAUCCCUGAGCAAUGAACCAAGUUACCCUAGGGAUAACAGCGCAAUCCUUUCCCAGAGCCCAUAUCAACGAAAGGGUUUACGACCUCGAUGUUGGAUCAGGGCAUCCUAACGGUGCAGCCGCU